rnacentral:rRNA from 1 species
ACAGGGAUUGCCCUAGUAACGGCGAGUGAAGCGGCAAUAGCUCAAAUUUGAAAGCUGGCUUAUGGCCCGCAUUGUAAUUUGUAGAGGAUGCUUUUAGGCAGCCGCCGGUCUAAGUUCCUUGGAACAGGACGUCAUAGAGGGUGAGAAUCCCGUAUGUGACCGGCUCUGGCACCUUAUGUAAAGCUCCUUCGACGAGUCGAGUUGUUUGGGAAUGCAGCUCUAAAUGGGAGGUAAAUUUCUUCUAAAGCUAAAUACUGGCGAGAGACCGAUAGCGCACAAGUAGAGUGAUCGAAAGAUGAAAAGCACUUUGGAAAGAGAGUUAAAAAGCACGUGAAAUUGUUGAAAGGGAAGCGCUUGCAAUCAGACUUGGACUUGGCUGUUCAACAGGUCUUCUGACCUGCCUAUUCAGUCUUGUCCAGGCCAGCAUCAGUUUCGGCGGCCGGAUAAAGGCCCUAGGAAUGUGGCUUUCCCUUCGGGGGAAGUGUUAUAGCCUAGGGUGUAAUACGGCCAGCUGGGACUGAGGUCCGCGCUUCGGCUAGGAUGCUGGCGUAAUGGUUGUAAGCGGCCCGUCUUGAAACACGGACCAAGGAGUCUAACAUCUAUGCGAGUGUUAGGGUGUCAAACCCUUACGCGUAAUGAAAGUGAACGGAGGUGAGAACCCGCAAGGGUGCAUCAUCGACCGAUCCUGAUGUCUUCGGAUGGAUUUGAGUAAGAGCAUAGCUGUUGGGACCCGAAAGAUGGUGAACUAUGCCUGAAUAGGGUGAAGCCAGAGGAAACUCUGGUGGAGGCUCGCAGCGGUUCUGACGUGCAAAUCGAUCGUCAAAUUUGGGUAUAGGGGCGAAAGACUAAUCGAACCAUCUAGUAGCUGGUUCCUGCCGAAGUUCUCCCCCUAGGGAUUA